ensembl:lncRNA
CUGUACGGAACUGCUUAUUUUCUGUGCUCAUGUAAUUGUUUACUUCUACCAUUUAAUGUAUGCGGGAAAUGUAGUCUCUGCUUACCAGAUACCUACCUGCAGUAUUUCUAAUGCAUCUGCAAGACAGCUCAGUGUAAGUUCUUUUUGUCUUAUCGCUAUUAUAUUUGAUCUAGCUACAUGGCCUACGGGGACAAUAUUUGAUUACAUUUUUGCUUUGCUGAAGCCGAUGGGCAAACUUCAGCUGAUCCUGGAGCUGUCUUUCACUUUCAAAAAAAUUAGGUAUAUCUGAGGCAUAAGUAAUACAAUUUUUUGCACCACAUAUAUUUUCAUUUCAUUUUUGCCAACCAUACCAAAAUAUGUGUGCUCUUCACUUAGAACCACAUGGGAAGAUCUAUUGUCUUUAAGUCUAAAUAACUGCAAUAAUAACAAAUCUGUCUCGGGUCCAGAUCAAUGACAGCGUACUGGGGGGACAGGGUAUGGGUGGACAAGCAGAAAGGGACCAUUUUAAAGCAGAGAAUCGCACUAUAUUGACUUCAUUUUGAUUGCCCUUGAAUGUUUUUAACAAGUAAUGGUGGCUUAUAAAAAGAAGUUACGCCACACAUUUAAUCACAAGUGAAAGUAAAUAAGUAGACUUACGUGAUCUGUUUUAAUGUACAAAGAAAUCUUAAUAUAUUAUAGGGAGAGGCAUAAGCUGCCUUUUGUGGGUGAAUUUUGCCUUCAUUUAUUGAGUGCUGACAAAUAAAUCUUCGCUGGCAUUCAGGCUUCCAUAAAUGCUGGUCAUUGUAGGUAGAAGGAAACUUUGGCCCUUAAGUAAGUUAUAUUUUCAGAUUAGCUACCACUCUGUUUUGUUUCCCUUCUUCUCAUAAAUCAAUUAUCGAGGGCUAUUUAAUUAAGAACAGAUUAGAAACAUUGUCAUUGUUGUUCUUAAAAUUUCCUUUGUACUGAAGUACUACAGAGUUAAAACACCAAGUACAAAAGUGCACAGCCAACCAUGACUAACAGCAUACAGCAAAUAACAAGCUGUAUGAUCAGAAAUGAAAGCCAGUGCCGUUCAUGUGGAAUAAUAGAAAUCAUACCACCAUGACACUUCAUACACAUCUG